AACGAACGCUGGCGGCAGGCCUAACACAUGCAAGUCGAACGCCCUAGCAAUAGGGAGUGGCAGACGGGUGAGUAACGCGUGGGAACCUUCCCUGUGGUGCGGAAUAACUCGCCGAAAGGCGUGCUAAUACCGCAUAAGCCCGCAAGGGGAAAGAUUUAUCGCCAUAGGAUGGGCCCGCGUAGGAUUAGCUAGUUGGUGAGGUAAUGGCUCACCAAGGCGACGAUCCUUAGCUGGUGAGAGAAUGACCAGCCACACUGGGACUGAGACACGGCCCAGACUCCUACGGGAGGCAGCAGUGGGGAAUCUUGGACAAUGGGCGCAAGCCUGAUCCAGCCAUGCCGCGUGAGUGACGAAGGCCUUCGGUUGUAAG
rnacentral:rRNA from 1 species